rnacentral:lncRNA from 1 species
CAAAUCCUGUUUCUCUGGGCGCAGGCCACGCGGGGACGGAGGAGGCAGAGAGGACGGGCAGUCAUGGAGAAACGGGAGAGAGGAGCCGGCCGAGCGUCACCGCCACCACCAUCACCAUCACCACCAUCACCACCAUCCCUGACCGCCGCCCAUCCCACCCCCAGCCUCAUCGUCCAUCUCAUCUCCCGUGCAAUGCCAACUUAUCAGACACUGUCCUUGUCAUCGGGUAAUACUCUGAAAAAAAAAUUAUGGAGUGAGCCAAAUUAGGAAUAAGUACCUCUGCUGUGCGCCAUUCAUCUUGGGGUUGCCACUUACCUACCUCAGUUUUCCCAUCAGGAAAAGGGACACUGCGAGGCUUCAUCCCUCAGUCAGACUGAGGAGGUUUGGUGGCUUUCAGAUUUUCUAAGGCUGGCGCUAGAAGAGACCUAGAUGUAACAACUCUAUUGGUAAUAAUGAUGAAUAUGAUGGUAAUGUCCUCAUUAGAUUAGAUAAUUGAGAGUUUAAAAACUUUCUCUCUGAUCUUUGGGUGUCAAAAUACCAAUAGUAAAUCAAAAAUAAGAAAAGUCAAACUUCCACUACACUAUUGCUCAAUAGAAGCAAAAAAGAUUCUUUUGUAGGAAAACCAUUCCAGAAAACUAAGGGCAGUAACUUUGAUCUGAUGUGUGGACAACGCUGUUUAGUGCCAAGUGAUUGUGUGAUGCUCAUUAUUUUGGAUGCGUACAGUGUCCCUGGGUGUUUUUCACCCUACCUGGAAAAUGUUUUGAUUACUGCAUUUCAAAACUGGCUUUCACCCUUCGAAGGGACUGCUAACCAGUCAUAUCCACAGAGAUUUCAAGAAUGUUAGGAAGUCCUGUCAUGGGAACCUUCUUUAGAAAAGCAAAACACAGAAAACAACCUUCUAAACCCACCACCUUUCUCUAGAAAAUGAACCCUGAAUUUCCAUGUUUUAUGUUUUGUUCUAAGAAAGACUACUAGACCAUUCUGAAUUUCUUGACAAGAUGGAAAUUUUUUCUUCCCCCCCAAUCACCAUAUCAUGUCUCCUCAUUAAUAGGACUGUAAAGGCCCACAUGGCAUAGUUUGCCUUGUGUCUUUAUUUCUUCAGUGCAGAAAACAAUAAGUGAUAUUAUUAAAAAUAGUGUGGACCCAGCUGAGCUGCAGUUGUCAUUACCAUAGUUUAAGAUCUCAGAUGUUGAAGUAUAAUUACACAUCAUUAACUCAAACCUCCCUAAUUUGUGAAGCAGGAUUUUAAAAUAGUGUAUGUAAUUUUGUGGAAAAUGACUUUGAAGUAAUUUCUUUUCCUAAAAAUAUUUCAGGGCCUCAAGUUUAAGUAAGGAGUAGUCAAUCUAAAAUAAUCACAUUUCAGACACAGAUUCAAAUAAUAACUUCACUAUGUUUUAAAUUCCAGAUCUUUUAUUUAGCAUCUUAAGAAAGCUUUAUGUCUUUGAUUGUAUAUUAGUUCAUC